AGGAACGAGAAAAUGUAGUGGAAGAAGAUGAUUUGGUGCAAAGAGCGGAGGAACUAGUAUAUGAAGAGGAUGAGGAGGCACAAGUUAAUUUGGAGCAAGUGCCAGAAGAACAAGAAAUGAAACAGACACCUGCGGUACUUAAAGAAGGAGAUAUCUUGCAAGAGAAACCAGUCAACACAAUGGCAUUUGGUGCGGCGAGUAUUCAGUUGGAUGGUAAGAAUAAUCUCCAGCCUGAAGGAGAAGCUCUUUCGCAGGAAGAAAAUAUCUUGCAAGAGAAACCAGUCAACACAAUGGCAUUUGGUGUGACGAGUAUUCAGUUGGAUGGUAAAAAUAAUCUCCAGCCUGAAGGAGAAGCUCUUUCGCAUGAAGAUGUUUUUUGUAGCCAGGACGGCAUCCAAGUAUAUAAUGAAGAACCUUUGGAGCAAGAGAAGUUGAUGGUGGACGUGCUAAAAGGUACUGGGAUGAAAAAUAUGUUGGAUGAUGCAAUUACCAGCAUUAAUAUUCAUAAGCAAAU
rnacentral:lncRNA from 1 species